rnacentral:ncRNA from 1 species
UUAGCGGUCGGCGAUGAGGCUCCGCCCCCUUCGCGUCAUCUGACGCUGAUGGCUUCUACCCCGCA